ACUUAUAUAGUUUAAACAAAACCUUACUUUUUCAUUGUAAAAAUAAAGAAUUUCUUUUAUAAGUUACUCUU
rnacentral:tRNA from 1 species